GACGAACGCUGGCGGCGUGCCUAAUACAUGCAAGUUGAACGGUAAAGCUUGGUUCUUGCAGCGAUUUUGAGUGCCGCAAACGGGUGAGUAACGCGAGUAAACUCUCCCUUUGAUCGGGGGACACCCAUUGAAAACGAAUUCUAAUCCCGCAUAACACCUUUAAACAUAGUUUUUGGUUUUGAAAUAUGCAAUUUCGUCACUCAGAGAUGGACCCGCGGUUUAUUAGCUUGUUGGUGGGGUACCGGCUUACCAAGGCUUUGACGGGUAGCCGACCUGAGAGGGUGACCGGCCACAUUGGGACUGAGAUACGGCCCAGACUCCUACGGGAGGCAGCAGUGGGGAAUAUUGCACAAUGGGCGGAAGCCUGAUGCAGCAACGCCGCGUGCGGGAUGACGGCCUUCGGGUUGUAAACCGCUUUCGCCUGUGACGAAGCGUGAGUGACGGUAAUGGGUAAAGAAGCACCGGCUAACUACGUG
rnacentral:rRNA from 1 species